AGUAUCCAUUGGAGGGCAAGUCUGGUGCCAGCAGCCGCGGUAAUUCCAGCUCCAAUAGCGUAUAUUAAAGUUGUUGCGGUUAAAAAGCUCGUAGUUGGAUUUGUGUCCCACGCUGUCGGUUCACCGCUCGUCGGUGUCUAACUGGCAUGGUUCGUGGGACGUCCUGCCGGUGGUGGCGAGUCGAAAGCGUGCGCCCGUCGCGGUCUCUCCGCUUGCGGUUCUUGCGCGCCGUAGACGGACCCCGAUGAAAUCCUACCGCGGUGCUCUUCGCCGAGUGUCGAGGUGGGCCGGCACGUUUACUUUGAACAAAUUAGAGUGCUUAAAGCAGGCCUGUUGCGCCUGAAUACUGUGUGCAUGGAAUAAUGGAAUAGGACCUCGGUUCUAUUUUGUUGGUUUUCGGAACCCGAGGUAAUGAUUAAUAGGGACAGGCGGGGGCAUUCGUAUUGCGACGUUAGAGGUGAAAUUCUUGGAUCGUCGCAAGACGAACCGAAGCGAAAGCAUUUGCCAAGUAUGUUUUCAUUAAUCAAGAACGAAAGUUAGAGGUUCGAAGGCGAUCAGAUACCGCCCUAGUUCUAACCAUAAACGAUGCCAGCUAGCGAUCCGCCGAAGUUCCUCCGAUGACUCGGCGGGCAGCUCCCGGGAAACCAAAGCUUUUGGGUUCCGGGGGAAGUAUGGUUGCAAAGCUGAAACUUAAAGGAAUUGACGGAAGGGCACCACCAGGAGUGGAGCCUGCGGCUUAAUUUGACUCAACACGGGAAACCUCACCAGGCCCGGACACCGGAAGGAUUGACAGAUUGAGAGCUCUUUCUGAUUCGUGG
rnacentral:rRNA from 1 species